UACGGAGGGGGCGAGCGUUUGUUCGGAAUCAUUGGGCGUAAAGGGCGCGUAGGCGGCCUUGCAAGUCGGGUGUGAAAUCCCUCGGCUCAACCGAGGAACCGCACUCGAUACUGCCGGGCUAGAGUCCGGGAGGGGAUGGUGGAAUUCCCAGUGUAGCGGUGAAAUGCGUAGAUAUUGGGAAGAACACCGGUGGCGAAGGCGGCCAUCUGGACCGGUACUGACGCUGAGGCGCGAAAGCUAGGGGAGCGAAUGGG
rnacentral:rRNA from 1 species